rnacentral:rRNA from 1 species
GACGAACGCUGGCGGCGUGCUUAACACAUGCAAGUCGAACGGAAAGGCCCUGCUUUUGUGGGGUGCUCGAGUGGCGAACGGGUGAGUAACACGUGAGUAACCUGCCCUUGACUUUGGGAUAACUUCAGGAAACUGGGGCUAAUACCGGAUAGGAGCUCCUGCUGCAUGGUGGGGGUUGGAAAGUUUCGGCGGUUGGGGAUGGACUCGCGGCUUAUCAGCUUGUUGGUGGGGUAGUGGCUUACCAAGGCUUUGACGGGUAGCCGGCCUGAGAGGGUGACCGGCCACAUUGGGACUGAGAUACGGCCCAGACUCCUACGGGAGGCAGCAGUGGGGAAUAUUGCACAAUGGGCGGAAGCCUGAUGCAGCAACGCCGCGUGCGGGAUGACGGCCUUCGGGUUGUAAACCGCUUUCGCCUGUGACGAAGCGUGAGUGACGGUAAUGGGUAAAGAAGCACCGGCUAACUACGUGCCAGCAGCCGCGGUGAUACGUAGGGUGCGAGCUUUGUCCGGAUUUAUUGGGCGUAAAGGGCUCGUAGGUGGUUGAUCGCGUCGGAAGUGUAAUCUUGGGGCUUAACCCUGAGCGUGCUUUCGAUACGGGUUGACUUGAGGAAGGUAGGGGAGAAUGGAAUUCCUGGUGGAGCGGUGGAAUGCGCAGAUAUCAGGAGGAACACCAGUGGCGAAGGCGGUUCUCUGGGCCUUUCCUGACGCUGAGGAGCGAAAGCGUGGGGAGCGAACAGGCUUAGAUACCCUGGUAGUCCACGCUGUAAACGGUGGGUACUAGGUGUGGGGUCCAUUCCACGGGUUCCGUGCCGUAGCUAACGCUUUAAGUACCCCGCCUGGGGAGUACGGCCGCAAGGCUAAAACUCAAAGGAAUUGACGGGGCCCCGCACAAGCGGCGGAGCAUGCGGAUUAAUUCGAUGCAACGCGUAGAACCUUACCUGGGUUUGACAUGGAUCGGGAGCGCUCAGAGAUGGGUGUGCCUCUUUUGGGGUCGGUUCACAGGUGGUGCAUGGCUGUCGUCAGCUCGUGUCGUGAGAUGUUGGGUUAAGUCCCGCAACGAGCGCAACCCUUGUUCACUGUUGCCAGCACGUUAUGGUGGGGACUCAGUGGAGACCGCCGGGGUCAACUCGGAGGAAGGUGGGGAUGACGUCAAGUCAUCAUGCCCCUUAUGUCCAGGGCUUCACGCAUGCUACAAUGGCUGGUACAGAGAGUGGCGAGCCUGUGAGGGUGAGCGAAUCUCGGAAAGCCGGUCUCAGUUCGGAUUGGGGUCUGCAACUCGACCUCAUGAAGUCGGAGUCGCUAGUAAUCGCAGAUCAGCAACGCUGCGGUGAAUACGUUCCCGGGGCU